CUAUGCAUUAUUUUACGUGUUACACUUAUGUAAUCUAGUUUUAAGAAUAUUUACGAUACCUGUUAAUUAAGACUUUAUAGUGAUCAGGUGAAUCAACAGAAUGUCUGAGGCAAAUACCUUAUUUCACAAUUAUAAAAAACGAUCCGUUAGCGUAUGCAACACAUCUCACGCGUCCUUUGGGGGCACAAUAUCAGGAGAAUCCGAUGGCACAUCUAUAUUGAAUUUUUGCCACCCGGGGCACAGCAGCAAUGGGCCACUCUGAAUAAAGCCCAGACCAGUGAGUGGCUACUACAUGGGUAGCGGGGAUGGUUCGGGUAGUAAUUAGUUUAAGAAGUUUCAAUGACCCGUCAUACAGGUGCAAAAUGAUCAAACCAAAUCAUUGACAAAUAAUUGUAAAUUAUUGCAAAUUAUCGAGGCCAUCAGCACUGAGGUGGCAUUGAAUGAGGUAUAGGUGGCGUGCACGAGAGUAACUGUUCACCCUCGCAACGGGGUUACCAUCGGGUUGGAGGUAGCUGGUAUAAUCAGUUUCCUUCCGCUCCACAUGCAACCACCUUACCUAUGGCCUCCUUGGUCCGUUUCAUUCCAUCUGCCCACUCGCGAAAGUAGAUGUGGCGCCUGCGCAUUGUUAGUUCGUGAUUGCGUGAAGAUAAACUUUAUAAUUUCAGUGAUAUAUUUGAAUGUUCGUGUAUAGAAGAAAACCUCAAGCCUCUGUAUAUGAACCACAAGCGUGCCGAUUUGCAUCGAUAAUCUUCCAUAUAUAAACACUCGAAAGAACAAUUUGUAUAUCAAAUAGUGUAGUCUGAUCAUACUCGAUUUAUAGCCUUUCAGAUACCCAUAUUUCAUCUCAUUCAGGUACAAAAAGUGACAUUCGACUCUGGAAGUGUCUAUACAAAAGGAAUUUUGAUGUGGCGCCACUAUAAACACUCGCCUGCGCCAGAACGGGCUGGACCGACCAUCAGGCCCCACCUGGAAGAAGCCUUGGGCCGACCAUCAGGCCCCACCGGGAAGAUGCCUACCGGCGCAAUAGGCAAUCAACGUAAAAAAAUAAUAAUAAUAAUAAUAAUAUGGGCAGCCUAAUAUUCAAAAUAGCCUAGCGUCGCAUUCGACAGUUGUUAUUUACUAUUUCAUGUUAUUUUGAUUAUUAAUAAUUAUUUACAUGCAGUAAACUAUUAAGAUAUCCUUUAUAUGCACUUUAUAUUAAACCUGAAAUGAGCUAUCAAUCAGUGAAUUUGAAAAACCAUAGAUCGUUCGAGCAUGAUGUGACUAUGUUAUUUGAUACAAGUUUGUCUUUUCGUGUGCUUGUAUGUUAGAUUAUAAUUAUCGAUGCAAAUGACUGAGUUGUUAUUUUUGUAUACAUAAACAUUCAAAUAUAUUAUUGAAAAAUAAGCUUGGCAGAGUCGGCACCGUGCCGACUCUGGGCCACGACAACCUACGACUCUAGGGUACACGAGGUCUUGGGUGUUGAUGUGAAAAGGUCGGGUAUACCUUGAAAGAAGUCUAGAAACGGUCGCCAAAUGCUGAGCCGAUGUCGGAAGGGGAGUGUGGGGUGGUGAGGGCUAGCGCAAAAAAAGUAUUCCAUGCUAAACUUCCACAUGAGUCGGGAAGGGUUUGGACCAACGAUCUUUUCCGGUUGAGGUCUGAGGGAGGUCGGAGACAGUCGUCACGAUUGACCCCAACGGUCUUGGCUUGCCCUGAGACAGUCGUGAAGACUGUCGGGGCCUUUUUUUUAUAUAUUGACCGUUUCCUGUCGGCACAGUUGUCGGUCCCGACUACUUAAGAAAAAUGAGGGACUGUCGUAUUGGUUCAAAACGGAACGCUACAUUUCGCUCUCAAAUACGGAACGAUUCCCUAUUUUAAGGAACGGGUGGAAACCCUAGACACAACGGAAAGUCACGGCCCAUUAUAGCCUAUAUACCCUUGGACCCGUGAAGAGUGCCAUUAAAAUGUCUGCGACCAAAAUAUUCUUUUACGAUUUUGGGUAGAAUUCGGCGACAGUCGGCAAGGCUGCCGCCAAGACAAUCGCGAAGACCGUCGGCCAACUCAUUGGCAACUGGUGGCCAGCUGGUCGGCCAACCAUUUCACAGAGUCUGCAAGACUGUUGCCAAGACCGUCUGCGACUGUCGGCCAAUCGGUCGGCAGAGUCGUGGUUGUCGUAGACAUGGCGCCACUUCAGAAAAUGACCGUUAAGACUCGUCUUGAGACUAGUUGCCAGCAUGUCGCAGAUAUGCUGGCAACUACUUGGCCGAAUGUCCCAAACAGGCGACGACCGUCGGCAAUCACACUUGCCGACACCAACACACACACACACACACACACACACACACACAAAAAAAAAAAAAAAAACCCCCCCAUUCUUGGAGCAUGGGAGUCGACUUGUCAAAUCGAAAAGUCGAUGGGUUAUCGUGACCAAGAGUCGGCACAGUAUAAACGGGGCUUUAAUGCGAAAAAAGUAUUCCAUGUUAAACUUCCACGACGAGAGUCGACAAGGGUCUGGACCAACGGUCAUUUCUGAUUGAGGUCUGAGGGAGGUCGGGGACAGUCGUCACGACUGUCCCCAACAGUCUUGGCUUGUCCUGAGACAGUCGUGAAGACUGUCGGGGCCAUUUCAUAAUUCUGACCUUUUCCUGUCGGCACAGUCGUCGGUGCCGACUACCUAAAAAUAAUGAGAGACUGUCGUGACGACAGUCUUCGUCUAAUGAAGGACGUUCGUGAUGAGUGUAGGCUCAGAAGUAUUGGCUAACACGUUGACUGGAUGUUGGCGGGAUACUGACUGCCGACAAGUUAGCAACAUGUCCCAAGAUUAAACAUUAUUAGACGGCGACCGUCCGCCGACCACUUGGCAGAGAGUCGAUCAUCUAAUUUCUCUUGUUGGAUGUGGAGGCCUCUUACUUCAUUUUGGCCAUUAAUUUAUAAAGAUGACAUAUUUUGUCAUGCGGAGCAGCCAUGGGAGAGCCCAUAUGCCUCGCUUCAGCAAAAAUUUGAUCUGAUCAAGCGACCGGUCCAAGAGCUUCAUAUGGGAGUCUGCAGCAGAGAGGAAAACAGGGGAGCUGUACUCAAAAUGUGGCAAUAAAAAUGAAUAAAAGGAAUUUAAUACAACGCUGUCGUCAGAAAAUAUCUUUUUGCACUUGCGAAGAAGACCAAUUUUCUGGGAGAUAGACCGCAAGUGAGACUCAAAUGUUAGUUUAGAGUCUAACGUCACCCCCAAUAGCUUUAAAGACUUACAAUUCUUAAUCACAGAAUUGUUAAAAACAAUAUCAGGGUGGAUAGAAAGACGAGACCUGGAUCUACUAAUAAUGAGAUCCUGGGAUUUCAAAUGAAUCAACUUCAUCCCCCACUGAGUACACCAAGAAUGAAUUCUGGAGACAUCCUCUUCCAAAACAUUGGCUGCUCUCCGUGUUGGGGGUAGGAGAUGGUAGUAUAAAGUGAUGUGUCAUCAGCAUAUGCCAACAUUUUAGAGGAUAUGCCACCCCAUAUAUCACUAGUAAAUAAAAUAAACAACAAAGGCCCCAAGACACUGCCUUGAGGAACACCGGACUUCACCGAGGUAAAGUCACUGAAAGAACAAUCAACAAUAACACGUUGUUUCCUGUCAGUUAAAAACUCAGAGAUCACAUCUGGGAGUGGAGGUUGUGGUGAUGAGAUAGUGUAUUGGAAAAUUUUGGGAGGAUAGGUGUGCUGCUUCUGCGUGGCGAGUGUGUGUGUGUUACUGAUAUACAUGGGGUGCAAGUUAUCAUAUUUACUAAUAUUGGCUACAGGGGGUGCAGGUUAUCACAUUUAUCAUAUUUACCGACAAGGGGACGUAGGUUAUCUCAUUUAUCACAUUUACCGACAUACAAAGGGUGCAGGUUAUCACAUUUAUUUGCAUACAUGGGGUGCAGGUUAUCGCAUCACAUUUACUGAUAUAUGAGGGGUGCAGGUUAUCUCACACCCCGGGCCACUGUCCAUUCCCAGAUAAAAAAAAAUUUACAGUAGAAGAAACAGUUCAAGGGCAUAAAAAAAGGAAACAAUAUGAAAAAAAAGCCCGCUAGUCACUGCUCCUACAAAGUGUCAAGAGGAGUGGCCGAAAGAUAGGUCAAUUUCGGGAGGAGAGGUGUCCAGAUACCCUCCUCUUGAAAGAGUUCAAGUCGUAGGCAGGAGAAAAUACAGAUGAAGGAAGAUUGUUCCUGAGUUUACUAGCGUGAGGGAUGAAAGAGUGAAAAUGCCGGUUAACUCGUGCGUAAAAAGGAAUUUGGACAGUAAAGGGAUGAGCUUGAGUAGAAAGUCGUGUGCGGCGGGGCCGCGGGAGGGGGGGAGGCAUGCAGUUAGCAAGUUCAGAAGAGCAGUCAGCAUGAAAAUAUCGAUAGAAGAUAGAAAGAGAGGCAACAUGGCGGCGGAAUUUAAGAGGUAGAAGACUAUCAAUAGGAGGAGGAGAGCUGAUGGGACGAAGAGCCUUAGACUCCACUCUGUCCAACAGAGAUGUGCGAGUGGAGCCCCCCCACACGUGAGAUCCAUACUCCAUACGAAGGCGGACAAGGCCCCUGUAUAUGGAUAGAAACUGUGCGAGGGAGAAGAACUGGCGGAGAAGAUACAGAACGCCCAACCUCGAGGAAGCUGAUUUAUUGAGAGAGGAGAUGUGAAGUUUCCAGUUAAGAUUUUAAGUUAAGGAUUGACCGAGAAUGUUUAGUGUUGAAGAAGGUGACAGCUGAGUGUUGUUGAAGAAUAGGGGAUAGGUGUUUGGAAGAUGUGUCGAGUUGAUAGGUGUAGAAAUUGGGUUUUUGAGGCAUUGAAGGACACAAGGUUCCUUUUACCCCAAUCGGAAAUGAUAGCAAGGUCUGAGGUUAAGCGUUCUGCAGCCUCCAGUUUGGAGUCAUGUAAUUCCUGUUGAGAGGGUCUUCUGUUGAAAGAAGUUGAAUAAUGCAGAGUGGAGUCGUUAGUGUAUGAGUGGAUUGGACAGUUUGUUAUGGAAAGAAGAUCAUUGAUGAAUAACAGGAAGAGAGUGGGUGAUAGGACAGAGCCCUGUGGAACACCACUGUUGAUGGGAUUAGGGGAAGAACGGUGACCGUCUACCACAGCAGAGUUAGAACGGCCGGAAAGGAAACUGGAGAUAAAGGAACAAAGAGAGGGAUAGAGUCCGAAAGAGGGCAGUUUAGAAAGCAAAGAGUUAUGCCAGACUCUAUCGAAGGCUUUCGAUGCGUCUAGCGCAACUGAGAGUUUCACCAAAACGGCUGUCAUGACCUAGGCUGGGAUUACGUUAGAUAGGAUUUACUAUAAGUAACGUAGCCAGAUAAUAACCCAGUUACGGGUAGACAAUAUAUGCUACUCCCUAGGCCGACUUUUUUUCACUCUGUGCUCUGAGGAGGUAUAACCAAACCACAAUUACUAAAAUAACAUUAAUAUUUAGAGUUAAGAUAAGUUACAAAAGAUUUCAUUUCACAAGAACAACAUAGCUACAUAUCUCCACAAAUCCCCCAAUAUACACUAUCCCAUCACCACACAGACACACCACGCAUAUCUCUCCAAAAUCAUUCAACACACGCAACACACACACACUCGCCACGCAGAAACAGCACACCUAUCCUCCCAAAAUUUUCCAACACACUAUCCCAUCACCACAACCUCCACUCCCAACUCUACGCCAACACCUCCUCCGUGACUCCGGCAGACAACCUUAUCUCUCCGCUCUCUGAGUCUCUGACCAGAAGUGACGCUCCUGGGUCAUUCUGGGUCUGACCUGGGCUCCCCCACGCCUUCCAUCACCGUGACACGACACAUAUCUCGGGCGGCCAAGUUACCCAUCGCCUCACUCCUCCGAUCUCCUCACUGACUUGACAUAAAACGUGCACCUCCCGCACGCCGCCCACUGACCCUAGCCAAUCUGCUUUAUGCCUGUUGAUGUGACUUGCACAAAUCUCUCUCUCCCUCUCUUCUUCCAUACAUCACCGUGACUUCCACUAAUUUUCUGUCUUACACAUAGUCCUUAACACUAACAUAAAUUUACUUACUGGUAACCGUAAAUAUUUAAAGGCUAAAAUUACACCAUCAAUUCUUUUUUUUCGUUUUUUACAUCCCCCGCCCAUGGCGAUGGUAGGCUUUCUUCAGGGGUCAGAUGGUCGGGCCAAGCCGUCGUGGCGCAGGCAAUUUUUUUUAUAGUGGCGCCAGCUAUACUUGGCUCAUGCUGCCCCCCGGAACUCAUUCUUGAUUCACUGGACGGUUUCUAUUAGAGUCUGAGUUGAUGGGUGGUCUUCUGGAGAGCAUGAGGGUAGUCUUAGGCCACUCGGCGGUGACUGAAAAAUCCCAGGUGGUAGCGUGGGGAUUCGAACCGACGUUGUCCAUGGUGUGGUGAAUGUGAGCCCAGCACGCUAACCACUCAGCCACCUCCUACCCAGUGGGAAUGCCUAGAGUGGGAAUGCUAUGCUCAUUUUUCUUAUUUAGAGGAGCUACCUUUGCCUUACAAAAGAGGUAUGAGGCCUUGUUGUCUUCACUCAGAGCAUAGGCUACAAAGCCAUAGGACUCUACUGAGCUAUCACAAAAGAUAUGCAGUCCAUAAGAAUUUUGCUCAUUGAGUGCUUGUCUGGGGAAGGAAAGUUCGGACAACAUUUCCAAGUCUCUGCUCAAACUUUUCAUUUCGUCUUAUUUCUUUGGGUAGUUUUCCAUCCCAACCAAUAUCUAGCUUCCAUAUUUUUCUCAUUAGGAUUCUUCCCCUUAUUGUGACAGGAAGUACUAUAUUCAAAUUUAGGAUCAAAUACCUUGGAUGUUUGAGACAAUUUUUCUUUUAGUAUCUGCCUCCGAGUCUAUCUUACAUAAACAUAUAUGGAUGUUCACUUCCGAAAAUAAGCCCUCCCCUCUUGACCUGACGUGAGCAAGGGCAAGGAGAGGGAAAGGGAAGGGAGAGGGAGAGGGAAGGGGGGGACAGGGGUCAUUAGUGGGGAGAGGUCGCGGGCAGGGAGUGACCUGACUCAGGCUGUGAGGGCAGGCAAGGAUCAUCAUUAGCAGCUGAGUGCGAACAUUCUUCUCGCUCGUCGCUCGUCAGUCAACUACAUGUUUUAUGAAUCAUGACCUCGAAAAUCGUUUUGAUAUAGAGGUUUUCAGAUAUAGUGGUCUGAAUACGUCGGCAGUGUGUGGCCGGCCUUGUAGAUAGAAGUUACUGUAGUAGGAAUUAAUUAGCUGCCUGCUGCUGGGUUAAGAUCACCGCGUGAAGGGAGGCUACUGAUUGCUUGCCGUGAAGGCUCAAUGCUGACUGUGUGUGUUUGCCACAAAGGCUAACAGCUGACUGCUCGCAGGCGAGCUUGAAAGUUAACUCAUUCCUUUUGGAACUUUGUUGAACCAUUGGUUCAGAAGCAUUCGACUCGCAACAGCUAUUAAAUGUUUCGUUUUGCUAAUAGAUUACCAACACUUCCCAAACAACCCUUAAUUCCUAACAGAUCAAUAUAUAAUGAACAUUAAACAGAGGAAGUGCUAGGGAUCAAGGCGGGUGUGGAACAUUUCUUCUCUGCUUCUACGGAAUAAAGACAAGGAAAUGC